rnacentral:rRNA from 1 species
CAGUCGCCGCGGGAAUACGAAGGGGGCUAGCGUUGUUCGGAAUUACUGGGCGUAAAGCGCACGUAGGCGGCUUUGUAAGUUAGAGGUGAAAGCCUGGGGCUCAACUCCAGAAUUGCCUUCAAGACUGCAUCGCUUGAACGUCGGAGAGGUGAGUGGAAUUCCGAGUGUAGAGGUGAAAUUCGUAGAUAUUCGGAAGAACACCAGUGGCGAAGGCGGCUCACUGGACGACUGUUGACGCUGAGGUGCGAAAGCGUGGGGAGCAAACAGGAUUAGAUACCCCUGUAGUCCCUGUCUCUUAUAA